AGGUUUACUUCCGGGACUUCCUAACACGAUGUCGGAAUUACGGAGUCACCAGCUACGAAUUGCCCGAAGCAAAGGACGAUGAUUCUCCCGAGGAGAAGCCAGCCGCGAGUCCCAAGAAGUCUGAAACAGACAACCUUCUCGAUGCUUGCAGGAAGCGAAAAGAGAAGAUUGCCCGCUUCACAGAGCAGAAGGCCAUGGAGGAGCGUCAACGGCAGCUCAAGGAUCUCAUCAGCAAUGCCACGGCGGAUGACGAGGUCGUGAGGGAGUACUACACCGUGCUACUUAAGUAUUGGGUGAACAAUGCAAUCGAGGAACUGCGCAGCAUCGAAGAGGAGAAGCCCAUCCUCCAGUAUAUGGCCAAAAUGAAAGCACAGGGAAAGCCAACACACGAGGCAUCGACACAGCAGCAGCCCAAGAAGGUG